AUUUUUAUUUCUUUUAAUAGUAAUAUAUUAUAUUUAUUUUGGUUAUUUUUUAUUUAAUUACUAUCGCACCCGCUGGUUUACCAGUCAUAAAACUCCCGCAAAAGCAUCCAUUAUCAAACGCUCAACCAGUCGUUCAAAACGCUUGAUAACGCUUGAAACCGCAACCGCCCGUUUUCGCAAACUCCCGCAACCGCAUCCGCUACGUUUAAACCAGUCAGGCUAUUAAUCUUUCAUUCUACGAUUAAAUAUAUGUUC
rnacentral:sRNA from 1 species